rnacentral:sRNA from 1 species
GGCUAUUCCCCUCUGGAGGUUUUCACCUUCACACCUCAAGGGCCGCGGUAUCAGCCGGCCCUUUUUUCUGUGGGUU